rnacentral:tRNA from 1 species
ACAGUAGUUCAAAUGGCAAUGCAUCUGUCCAGUAAACAGACGGUAGCCAGUUCGAUUCCGGCUUACUGUG